GACGAACGCUGGCGGCGUGCUUAACACAUGCAAGUCGAACGGUAAGGCCCUUCGGGGUAUACGAGUGGCGAACGGGUGAGUAACACGUGGGUGAUCUGCCCUGCACUUCGGGAUAAGCCUGGGAAACUGGGUCUAAUACCGGAUAGGACUCCGGACUGCAUGGUCUGGGGUGGAAAGCUUUUGCGGUGUGGGAUGGGCCCGCGGCCUAUCAGCUUGUUGGUGGGGUGAUGGCCUACCAAGGCGACGACGGGUAGCCGGCCUGAGAGGGUGACCGGCCACACUGGGACUGAGAUACGGCCCAGACUCCUACGGGAGGCAGCAGUGGGGAAUAUUGCACAAUGGGCGCAAGCCUGGUGCAGUGACGCCGCGUGAGGGAUGACGGCCUUCGGGUUGUAAACCUCUUUCAGCAUCGACGAAGCGAAAGUGACGGUAGGUGCAGAAGAAGGACCGGCCAACUACGUGCCAGCCGCCGCGGUAA
rnacentral:rRNA from 1 species